rnacentral:rRNA from 1 species
UACAGAGGGUGCAAGCGUUGUUCGGAAUUAUUGGGCGUAAAGCGCGUGUAGGCGGCUUUGCAAGUCGGGUGUGAAAGCCCUCAGCUCAACUGAGGAAGUGCGCCCGAAACUGCAAGGCUUGAGUACCGGAGAGGAUGGCGGAAUUCCCGAAGUAGAGGUGAAAUUCGUAGAUAUCGGGAGGAACACCGGUGGCGAAGGCGGCCAUCUGGACGGAUACUGACGCUGAGACGCGAAAGCGUGGGUAGCAAACAGG